GUAAACGGCGGCCGUAACUAUAACGGUCCUAAGGUAGCGAAAUUCCUUGUCGGGUAAGUUCCGACCUGCACGAAUGGCGUAAUGAUGGCCAGGCUGUCUCCACCCGAGACUCAGUGAAAUUGAACUCGCUGUGAAGAUGCAGUGUACCCGCGGCAAGACGGAAAGACCCCGUGAACCUUUACUAUAGCUUGACACUGAACAUUGAGCCUUGAUGUGUAGGAUAGGUGGGAGGCUUUGAAGUGUGGACGCCAGUCUGCAUGGAGCCGACCUUGAAAUACCACCCUUUAAUGUUUGAUGUUCUAACGUUGGCCCGUAAUCCGGGUUGCGGACAGUGUCUGGUGGGUAGUUUGACUGGGGCGGUCUCCUCCUAAAGAGUAACGGAGGAGCACGAAGGUUGGCUAAUCCUGGUCGGACAUCAGGAGGUUAGUGCAAUGGCAUAAGCCAGCUUGACUGCGAGCGUGACGGCGCGAGCAGGUGCGAAAGCAGGUCAUAGUGAUCCGGUGGUUCUGAAUGGAAGGGCCAUCGCUCAACGGAUAAAAGGUACUCCGGGGAUAACAGGCUGAUACCGCCCAAGAGUUCAUAUCGACGGCGGUGUUUGGCACCUCGAUGUCGGCUCAUCACAUCCUGGGGCUGAAGUAGGUCCCAAGGGUAUGGCUGUUCGCCAUUUAAAGUGGUACGCGAGCUGGGUUUAGAACGUCGUGAGACAGUUCGGUCCCUAUCUGCCGUGGGCGCUGGAGAACUGAGGGGGGCUGCUCCUAGUACGAGAGGACCGGAGUGGACGCAUCACUGGUGUUCGGGUUGUCAUGCCAAUGGCACUGCCCGGUAGCUAAAUGCGGAAGAGAUAAGUGCUGAAAGCAUCUAAGCACGAAACUUGCCCCGAGAUGAGUUCUCCCUGA
rnacentral:rRNA from 1 species